CCACAAGGGGUGAAGCCUGCGGUUCAAUUGGAGUCAACGCCAGGAAACUUACCAGGAGAGACAGCAGAUUGAGGGUCAGGCUGAAGACCUUACCUGACGAGCUGAGAGGAGGUGCAUGGCCGUCGCCAGCUCGUGCCGUGAGGCGUCCUGUUAAGUCAGGCAACGAGCGAGACCCCUAUCCGUAAUUGCUAACUGUUCAGAGAUGGAUAGAGGCUAGUUACAGAGACUGCCGCUGCUAAAGCGGAGGAAGGAAGGGGCCACGGCAGGUCAGUAUGCCCCGAAACUCCUGGGCCACACGCGGGCUGCAAUGGUAGGGACAAUAGGUUCCGACCUCGAAAGAGGAGGGCAAUCCCGAAACCCUACCCCAGUUGUGAUCGAGGAUUGAAACCCGUCCUCGUGAAUAUGGAAUCCCUAGUAACCGCGUGUCAUCACCGCGCGGUGAA
rnacentral:rRNA from 1 species